CCUACGGGAGACAGCAGUGAGGAAUAUUGGUCAAUGGGCGAGAGCCUGAACCAGCCAAGUCGCGUGAGGGAAGACGGUCCUAUGGAUUGUAAACUUCUUUUGUCGGGGAGUAAAAAGUGGCACGUGUACCGUAUUGAGUGUACCAGGAGAAAAAGCAUCGGCUAACUCCGUGCCAGCAGCCGCGGUAAUACGGAGGAUCCGAGCGUUAUCCGGAUUUAUUGGGUUUAAAGGGAGCGUAGGUGGAUUGUUAAGUCAGUUGUGAAAGUUUGCGGCUCAACCGUAAAAUUGCAGUUGAAACUGGCAGUCUUGAGUACAGUAGAGGUGGGCGGAAUUCGUGGUGUAGCGGUGAAAUGCUUAGAUAUCACGAAGAACUCCGAUUGCGAAGGCAGCUCACUGGACUGCAACUGACACUGAGGCUCGAAAGUGUGGGUAUCAAACAGGAUUAGAUACCCCUGUAGUC
rnacentral:rRNA from 1 species